GACGAACGCUGGCGGCGUGCUUAACACAUGCAAGUCGACAUGAGUGGCGAACGGGUGAGUAAUACGUGGGUAACCUGCCCUCCUUUUUUGGAUAAGCCUUGGAAACGGGGUCUAAUACCGAAUAAAGGGGGAUGGGCUCGCGGCCUAUCAGCUUGUUGGUGGGGUGAUGGCCUACCAAGGCGGUGACGGGUAGCCGGCCUGAGAGGGUGAACGGCCACAUUGGGACGGAGAUGAGGCCCAGGCGACGAAGGGGGGGGGAAGUGUGGGAUAUGGGAGAAUGGGCGAAAGCCCGAUGCAGCGACGCCGAGGGAGGGAUGAAGGUUUUCGGGUUGUAAACCUCUGGCGGUAGCGAACGGGUAGGUGGAGAAGAAGCGCCGGCUAACUACGUGCCAGCAGCCGCGGUAAUUC
rnacentral:rRNA from 1 species